GCUCUCGGGAGAGCUGCGGCUCUCAGCUUCCGUUCACGAGGGCGUGAACUUGCAGGGAAGCGUGGUGGAUUGUAAGCAACCAAAAGGGAACGACUCGAGAGACGAUCCAUAGGGGUUCAAAUAUAGAGGGAAAGGGCCCAUGAACAAGAACUUGCAGGGAAGCGUGGUGGAUUGUAAGCAACCAAAAGGGAACGACUCGAGAGACGAUCCAUAGGGGUUCAAAUAUAGAGGGAAAGGGCCCAUGAACAAGAGUGCGCCCC
rnacentral:lncRNA from 1 species